UCCGAAGCAGGCUCCAGGCUCUGAGCCAUCAGCACAGAGCCUGACGCGGGGCUCGAACCCUCAAACUGUGAGAUCGUGACCUGCGCCGAAGUCGGACGCUCAACCGACUGAGCCACGGAGGCGCCCCUCGGCCUCCCCAUUUAAACUGCAAUCUGCCCCCUCCCCUGCUACUCUCCUUCCUGCACAGCACUUAUCACCCUCCCCUACGUGAAGUAACGGACCCGGGAUCGUGUGAGCAGACUGCUGUUGGUCUCCCCUGCUAGGAUUUAGCCUCCGCAGGAGCAGAAGCCUUUGUUCUGUUCGCCAAUGACCUCAAUAUUUGAGAACAGACGAGUGCACCUUUCUUAGCCCGCUCCUCGGCCCACUGCAGCUCCCCCUGUACGGCGUGCAGCUUCUGACACAGCUCCUGCCUGCUGUCCUGUGCCUCCCGCCAGUCAUGCUCCAGGAUGUCCAGGAGGAUGCGCUCCGAGCCCGGGGCCCCCAGCCUGCCGGCCUCCUGAGGGUCAUGGUUCAGAGGCCGCCUCAAGCUCCGGCCCAGGGCCCACCUUGACUGUGGCAGGAGGGAGGGGGACACACAGCCCUCGCCCCCGCCCCCUCAGGCCCGCCUCACUAGCUCUGCCACCGUGGCCACGGGCCUUGACCUCUCUGGACCUCCCUUUCCCAGUCUGUGGAGGAGGUGUGGCCCACAGCCCCGCACCCUCGAGGGAACAUCUGGGGUGGAAAUGAAGUGAAUGAGGACGUGCCUGCACAAGUUGGCCCGGAUCUUAUUCCUAAACAAGAA